rnacentral:tRNA from 5 species
GUCCCCAUCGUCUAGAGGCCUAGGACACGACCCUUUCACGGUCGGUACAGCAGUUCGAAUCUGCUUGGGGACGCCA